AAUGAACGUUGGCGGCGUGGAUUAGGCAUGCAAGUCGAGCGAAAACCUUCUUUCGGGAAGGGGACAGCGGCGUAAGGGACAGUAAUACGUAGAUCACCUACCCUCGGGUCCAGGAUAGCUGCGGGAAACUGCAGGUAAUACUGGAUAACGUCUUCGGACCAAAGGUGUGAUUCCGUCCGGGGAUGGGUCUGCGUCCUAUUAGCUAGUUGGUGGGGUAACGGCCCACCAAGGCAAUGAUGGGGUAGCGGGUGNGAGAGCACGACCCGCGUCACUGGGACUGAGACACUGCCCAGACACCUACGGGUGGCUGCAGUCGAGGAUCUUCGGCAAUGGGCGCAAGCCUGACCGAGCGACGCCGCGUGUGGGAU
rnacentral:rRNA from 1 species